UACGGAGGGUCAAGCGUUAUCCGGAUUCACUGGGUUUAAAGGGUGCGUAGGUGGGUCUGUAAGUCAGUGGUGAAAUCCCCGAGCUUAACUUGGGACUGCCGUUGAUACUAUAGAUCUUGAAUAUCGUGGAGGUAAGCGGAAUAUGUCAUGUAGCGGUGAAAUGCUUAGAUAUGACAUAGAACACCAAUUGCGUAGGCAGCUUACUACACGAUCAUUGACGCUGAGGCACGAAAGCGUGGGGAGC
rnacentral:rRNA from 1 species